AUUGAACGCUGGCGGCAGGCCUAACACAUGCAAGUCGAGCGGAUGAAGGGAGCUUGCUCCUGGAUUCAGCGGCGGACGGGUGAGUAAUGCCUAGGAAUCUGCCUGGUAGUGGGGGAUAACGUCCGGAAACGGGCGCUAAUACCGCAUACGUCCUGAGGGAGAAAGUGGGGGAUCUUCGGACCUCACGCUAUCAGAUGUGCCUAGGUCGGAUUAGCUAGUUGGUGGGGUAAAGGCCUACCAAGGCGACGAUCCGUAACUGGUCUGAGAGGAUGAUCAGUCACGCUGGAACUGAGACACGGUCCAGACUCCUACGGGAGGCAGCAGUGGGGAAUAUUGGACAAUGGGCGAAAGCCUGAUCCAGCCAUGCCGCGUGUGUGAAGAAGGUCUUCGGAUUGUAAAGCACUUUAAGUUGGGAGGAAGGGCAGUAAGUUAAUACCUUGCUGUUUUGACGUUACCAACAGAAUAAGCACCGGCUAACUUCGUG
rnacentral:rRNA from 1 species